rnacentral:rRNA from 1 species
UACGGAGGGGGCAAGCGUUGUUCGGAUUUACUGGGCGUAAAGGGCGCGUAGGCGGAUGUUCGCGUCAGAGGUGAAAGCCCCGGGCUCAACCUGGGAACUGCCUUUGAAACGGGACAUCUUGAGUUCGGAAGAGGGUAGCGGAAUUCCCAGUGUAGAGGUGAAAUUCGUAGAUAUUGGGAAGAACACCAGUAGCGAAGGCGGCUACCUGGUCCGACACUGACGCUGAGGCGCGAAAGCGUGGGGAGCAAAC